rnacentral:rRNA from 1 species
UACGUAGGGUGCAAGCGUUAAUCGGAAUUACUGGGCGUAAAGCGUGCGCAGGUGGUGAUGUAAGUCAGGUGUGAAAUCCCCGGGCUUAACCUGGGAACUGCAUUUGUGACUGCAUCGCUGGAGUGCGGCAGAGGGGGAUGGAAUUCCGCGUGUAGCAGUGAAAUGCGUAGAUAUGCGGAGGAACACCGAUGGCGAAGGCAAUCCCCUGGGCCUGCACUGACGCUCAUGCACGAAAGCGUGGGGAGCAAACAGG